GAAAGUAAGUAAGGGCGUAUGGGGGAUGCCUAGGCUCUUGGAGGCUAAGAAGGACGUGGUAAGCUGCGAAAAGUUGCGGGGAUUUGCAAACGAGACUCGAUCCGCAGAUAUCCGAAUGGGACAACCCGGCAGGUAGAAGACCUGUCACACCGCGAGGUGAGCUAACCCUCUGAACUGAAACAUCUAAGUAGGAGGAGGAAAAGAAAGAAACAUCGAUUUCCAAAGUAGCGGCGAGCGAAAUGGAAGAAGCCCAAACCGAUAUUGUUACGGCAAUAUCGGGGUUGUAGGACUGCAAUAUUCAAUUAACAAUGAACUGGAAUGGUCUGGAAAGUCCAUCCAUAGAGAGUGAAAGGCUCGUACAGGUAAGUUUGUUAUGCGAAAGCAGUAUCCUGAGUAUGGCGGGACACGAGGAAUCCUGUCAGAAUCAGCCGGGACCACCCGGUAAGGCUAAAUACUCCCAAGAGACCGAUAGUGGACCAGUACUGUGAAGGAAAGGUGAAAAGAACCCCGAACAGGGGAGUGAAAUAGAACCUGAAACCAUACGCUUACAACCGGUCGGAGCAGCUUCGUGCUGUGACGGCGUGCCUAUUGAAUAAUGAGCCUACGAGUUACUAAUCACUGGCGAGGUUAAGUGCACGGAUGCACGGAGCCGAAGCGAAAGCGAGUCUGAACAGGGCGGCUAGUCAGUGGUUGUAGACGCGAAACCUUGCGAUCUACCCUUGAGCAGGUUGAAGGUUGGGUAAAACCAACUGGAGGACCGAACGAAUAAGCGUUGAAAAGCUUCUCGAUGACUUGAGGGUAGGGGUGAAAGGCUAAUCAAGCUGGGAAAUAGCUCGUACUCCCCGAAAUGCCUUUAGGGGCAGCGUUGUAAUUAAGAGUCUACUGGAGGUAGAGCUACUGAUUGGAUGCGGGGGCUUCACCGCCUACCAAAUCCUGACAAACUCCGAAUGCCAGUAGUAUGAUUUACAGCAGUGAGCGACCGGGUGCUAAUGUCCGGUUACGAGAGUGGAACAACACAGACCAGCAACUAAGGUCCCCAAGAGUAUACUAAGUUGAUCUAACGAUGUUUUGCUGCAGAGACAGCUAGGAUGUUAGCUUGGAAGCAGCUAUUCAUUCAAAGAGUGCGUAACAGCUCACUAGUCGAGCGGCAAAGCGUGGAUAAUAAACGGGCAUCAAGUAUACCACCGAAGUUCUGGGCACGAAAGUGCGGUAGGGGAGCAUUCCAUUCCGCGUUGAAGCCGAACCGUGAGGUUUGGUGGAGUGUAUGGAAAAGCAAAUGUAGGCAUGAGUAACGAUAAUGCGGGAGAGUAACCCGCACACCGCAAGACCAAGGUUUCCUGAUCAACGCUAAUCGGAUCAGGGUUAGUCGGGUCCUAAGGGUAAGCCGAACGGUGAUCUCGAUGGAUAAUCGGUUAAUAUUCCGAUACUGACAUAUACCUCGAUGGAGAGACGAAGGAACGUAAGUGCCGCCACCUGACGGAAUAGGUGGUUAAAGGGCUUAGGUAUAGGGGCAGAUUAAGAGUUAGUCCUUGCUGAAACCUGACAGUACAGAGAGCCUACGGGCAAUUUGAUAGUGCACCCAAGUCGACUUCCGAGAAAAUCUUCUAAGUUAUAGUAUAUGUCACCCGUACCGUAAACCGACACAGGUGGUCGAGGAGAGUAUCCUAAGGUGCUCGAGUGAAUCACGGUUAAGGAACUAGGCAAAUUAACCCCGUAACUUCGGGAAAAGGGGUCCCUAUGAAAGUAGGGCGCAGCGAAGAGGUCCAGGCGACUGUUUAUCAAAAACACAGGGCUCUGCAAAUUCGAAAGAAGACGUAUAGGGCCUGACACCUGCCCGGUGCUGGAAGGUUAAGAGGGGAUGUCAUCGCAAGAGAAGCAUUGAAUCGAAGCCCCAGUAAACGGCGGCCGUAACUAUAACGGUCCUAAGGUAGCGAAAUUCCUUGUCGGGU
rnacentral:rRNA from 1 species